GUUGAGAUGGCUUGAUGCUUCUCUUGUCCAUAUUAACCAUAAGGUCCGCAAGUAUAGGACUCCAAAAAAUCUGCACAUCACUAAAGAGGAGCCGACGUGUGCAAAAGUGCUUUCAUGCAUCUGGAUAUCUGGCUGAACUCAGUGGAUGUUCGUGUAGACUUGUGUUCUGUCCAAGAGAGAAAAAGCGUUGCAAUAUUUUUCGCCCCAU
rnacentral:lncRNA from 1 species